rnacentral:rRNA from 1 species
AUUGAACGCUGGCGGCAUGCUUCACACAUGCAAGUCGAACGGCAGCACGGGUGCUUGCACCUGGUGGCGAGUGGCGAACGGGUGAGUAAUAUAUCGGAACGUACCCGGCAAUGGGGGAUAACGUAGCGAAAGUUACGCUAAUACCGCAUAUGCCCUGAGGGGGAAAGUGGGGGAUAGCAAGACCCCACGUCUUCGGAGCGGCCGAUAUCAGCUUAGCUAGUUGGUGGGGUAAAGGCCUACAAAGGCGACGAUCUGUAGCUGGUCUGAGAGGACGACCAGCCACACUGGGACUGAGACACGGCCCAGACUCCUACGGGAGGCAGCAGUGGGGAAUUUUGGACAAUGGGGGCAACCCUGAUCCAGCCAUGCCGCGUGAGUGAAGAAGGCCUUCGGGUUGUAAAGCUCUUUCGGACAGAAAGAAAUCGCCGCUUCUAAUAAAGGUGGUGGAUGACGGUACUGUAAGAAGAAGCACCGGCUAACUACGUGCCAGCAGCCGCGGUAACAC